AGCCUGCCAGUGACUAAGUUCAACGGCCGCGGUAUCCUAACCGUGCGAAGGUAGCGUAAUCACUUGUUCUUUAAAUGAGGACUAGUAUGAAUGGCACCACGAAGGUUAUGCUGUCUCCUUUUUCUAAUCAAUGAAACUGAUCUCCCCGUGAAGAAGCGGGGAUACAACUAUAAGACGAGAAGACCCUAUGGAGCUUUAAACCACUGUAACACUGGCUCAUACAUUAAAAUAUUCAGAAUUUCUCAUAAUUACUCUAGCCACCAUGAUUACUAGUUUUAGGUUGGGGUGACCACGGAGCAAAAAUUAACCUCCAUGUUAAACGGAGCUACUCCUGAGCCAUAAGCCACGACUUUAAGCACUAAUAAAUUAAUAUUAAUUGACCCAAUAUUUUUGAUCAACGAACCAAGUUACCCUAGGGAUAACAGCGCA
rnacentral:rRNA from 1 species